UACGUAGGGUGCAAGCGUUGUCCGGAAUUAUUGGGCGUAAAGAGCUCGUAGGCGGUUUGUCGCGUCUGCUGUGAAAACGCGAGGCUCAACCUCGCGCCUGCAGUGGGUACGGGCAGACUAGAGUGCGGUAGGGGAGAUUGGAAUUCCUGGUGUAGCGGUGGAAUGCGCAGAUAUCAGGAGGAACACCGAUGGCGAAGGCAG
rnacentral:rRNA from 1 species